ACAUACUGCGAGGUACUAGCUUUGAUGAGAUCUGGUUUUCUGGAAAAAAAAAAAAGGGAGAAGGAACUCAGUGAAUAUUGCCCUGGGUCCUGGUAAUUCCACCUACUGAAGACAACUGCCCCUUCUGCUCAUAUUUCCUGAGUCAACAUGGCCGUUCCUAACUUUGAAGAGACUUUAGACAUUCUUUGUUACAAUGAACCUAGAAGAAAGAAGAGAAAUAUUACAGCGACUGUGCCCGGGACUGUAAGGCGGAUAAGACCCAGCAGGUCCUGUUCCUUGCCGAGGAGGUUAAGUCUCUCCCGAUGGUGGCUGGGUGCACUGCUUUCCUCUGAGGCCAUUUGCUGGAUUUCAAGAGACCGUCCUUCCUCGAUCAUAAUUCCCAGAGGCUUUUGUGAGUGGCUUCCGGAAGUCUUUGUUUUGAGACGAGGAGUCACUCCCUGUGUUGCUGAGCGUGUCACUGAAUUCCUCUGACCUCUGAGGUGAGGAGAUUCUCUCACCUCAGCCUCCGCGUCCCUAGAAGUUGGUACCCUGAAUUGACAGCACCACAUCUGACUUAAAAAAAUAAUUAAUUUUUUAAAGCAAUGGCGCCCUCCCAUCUAGCAGAAUGCACAGUAGGUGUGCAUAGCCUCCAUUUUAUAUGCCAUUGUAAGGAUGAGUUCUGUUUGAAACCUACAGAGCAAAGCACACGUAUGUGGUUCAAACCUAUAAUCUGGCAGGGUGAGAACAGAAGGUACUGACUGAGGAGGCAUAAGUUACCCUUUGCCAGACAAUAGACGGAGAAAGGAGUAAGGAGGAGUGGGAAAGGGUCCAGGUGGAAAGGUCGAUGACUUUGGGAGCAUCGAGGGAAGGAGGUAAGGUUAGAGAAUGGCAAUUGGACGGUAGAUCUAGCAGGAAGGGGUGAACAUAGAGAUAGGAAGCUAAGAUUCUGGGAGGUAUACAAGGCAGGCUACCCCUCAGAACCAUGUGAGAAAGAGAGAGAGGGAGAAAGAAAGAAGGAAAGGAGAGAGGAAGGGAAGAAGGAAGGAAGGAAGAAAGAGAUGGCAUCUGUCAAUAUCUAGUCAAUCCCGGUAUGAUAUGGGCAGUAGGAAUGUUUAUGGGUAGGAAGGUGGGGUUAGGGUAGAGCACAGUGAUAAAGAAUGCUCAGCAGAAACAAGGCCUCGUGUAUCAUGUCAGCACACAAACAAAUAUCUCGUCAAAUCCCACAAUAACAUCAUCAUCACCAUCAUCAGCAGCAGCAGCAGCAGAAGUCCUAACAGGAAGUGGAGGUGACUGAAGGCAAACAUGGUUCUCUGGCCAAAGUACGCCUGUAUUUUCUAGAAAGUGCUUAGAAUAACAUACCUAAGAAAGAUAUGGAAAAUAGAUGGAUAUUAAAGAUACAGUUAUAUGUUUACAUCCUCCUGCCAUCACAACCUUAUUCAUAUGAAAUAGCCUACGAGGCGUUACAGUGUGGUUACCAUGCGCUACAUAUUGUUUGCUCUAUACUUCAAUGUAGAUAUGUGCUAUGAUUGUACACGGUGAUCUCAAGAGCAAGAUGAUGUGGUCGGGCAGGGAGACAUGUUUACCUUUGCUUUUAUUCACCAUUUAGAGUGUUGUAACAAUCUGUAGUACUUUCCUAAUCUGAAAAUAAAGGAGAAAAAACUUUAAAGAAUAAAAAUGAUUUAAAUCGGCUCCCA
rnacentral:lncRNA from 1 species